rnacentral:rRNA from 1 species
AGAUUGAACGCUAGCGGGAUGCUUUACACAUGCAAGUCGAACGGCAGCGCGGACUUCGGUCUGGCGGCGAGUGGCGAACGGGUGAGUAAUAUAUCGGAACGUGCCCAGUAGCGGGGGAUAACUACGCGAAAGCGUGGCUAAUACCGCAUACGCCCUACGGGGGAAAGGGGGGAUCGCAAGACCUCUCACUAUUGGAGCGGCCGAUAUCAGAUUAGCUAGUUGGUGAGGUAAAGGCUCACCAAGGCGACGAUCUGUAGCUGGUUUGAGAGGACGACCAGCCACACUGGGACUGAGACACGGCCCAGACUCCUACGGGAGCAGCAGUGGGAAUUUGGACAAUGGGGAAACCUGAUCAGCCAUCCCGCGUGUGCGAUGAAGGCCUUCGGGUUGUAAGCACUUUGGC